UGAGACAUGGUGUAGAUUGGUAACACUGCCUCGAAGCAUUGACGAGUGGAACAUGCGGAGUUUCGAGGUCGUCCCGGGUUCGAUUCCCGGUGUCUGAA